AUACCAGCACCCCGAGUGGUCGGGACGAUUAUUGGGCCUAAAGCAUCCGUAGCCGGUCCAGCAAGUCCUCCGUUAAAUCCACCUGCUUAACAGAUGGGCUGCGGGGGAUACUACUGGGCUAGGAGGCGGGAGAGGCAAGCGGUACUCAGUGGGUAGGGGUAAAAUCCUCUGAUCCACUGAAGAACACCAGUGGCGAAGGCGGCUGGCCGGAACGCGCUCGACGGGGAGGGAUGAAAGCUGGGGGAGCAAACCGGAUUAGAUACCCGGGUAGUCCCAGCCGUAAACGAUGCAGACUCGGUGAUGGGCUGACUUUAUGUCAGCCCAGUGCCGCAGGGAAGCCGUUAAGUCUGCCGCCUGGGGAGUACGGUCGCAAGACUGAAACUCAAAUGAAUUGACGGGG
rnacentral:rRNA from 1 species